ACGAACGCUGGCGGCGUGCUUAACACAUGCAAGUCGAACGGAAAGGCCCUGCUUGCAGGGUACUCGAGUGGCGAACGGGUGAGUAACACGUGGGUGAUCUGCCCUGCACUUCGGGAUAAGCCUGGGAAACUGGGUCUAAUACCGGAUAGGAGCCAUUUUUAGUGUGAUGGUUGGAAAGUUUUUUCGGUGUAGGAUGAGCUCGCGGCCUAUCAGCUUGUUGGUGGGGUAAUGGCCUACCAAGGCGGCGACGGGUAGCCGGCCUGAGAGGGUGGACGGCCACAUUGGGACUGAGAUCCGGCCCAGCCUCCUACGGGAGGCAGCAGUGGGGAAUAUUGCACAAUGGGCGCAAGCCUGAUGCAGCGACGCCGCGUGGGGGAUGACGGCCUUCGGGUUGUAAACUCCUUUCGCUAGGGACGAAGCUUUUUGUGACGGUACCUAGAUAAGAAGCACCGGCUAACUACGUG
rnacentral:rRNA from 1 species